rnacentral:rRNA from 1 species
UACGUAGGUGGCAAGCGUUGUCCGGAUUUACUGGGCGUAAAGGGCGUGCAGGCGGUCUGUUAAGUUCAGGGUGAAAGCUCCCGGCUCAACUGGGAGAGGUCCUUGGAUACUGGCAGACUUGAGGGAGGUAGAGGAGAGUGGAAUUCCCGGUGUAGUGGUGAUAUGCGUAGAUAUCGGGAGGAACACCGGUGGCGAAGGCGGUUCUCUGGGCCUUACCUGACGCUGAGGAGCGAAAGCGUGGGGAGCGAACAGG